GGCCCAAUGGUCUAGUAGUAUGAUACGUGCUUCGGGUGGCUUCAACCCGGUACUCAGGACCAUAAGAUUGCACGGGGUCCCGGGUUCAAUUCCCGGUUGGGCCC